GACGAACGCUGGCGGCGUGCCUAAUACAUGCAAGUAGAACGCAUUUGCGAACGGUUGAGUAACGCGUAGGUAACUGCCUCAUAGCGGGGUAAAACUAAUGGAAACGAUAGCUAAUACCGCAUAAUGUGAGAUGGACCUGCUUUGUAUUAGCUAGUUGUGCAGGUAAAGGCUCACCAAGGCGACGAUACCUAACCGACCUGGGAGGGUGAUCGGCCACACUGGGACUUAGGCACGGCCCAGACUCCUACGGGAGGCAGCAGUAGGGAAUCUUCGGCAAUGGACGGAAGUCUGACCGAGCAAUGCCGCGUGAGUGAAGAAGGUUUUCGGAUCGUUAAGCUCUGUUGUUAGAGAAGCGUUAACUAACCAGAAAGGGAAGGCUAACUCCGCGCCAGCAGCCGCGGUAAUUC
rnacentral:rRNA from 1 species